AGUACAAAGUGUUAUUUGAUAAAAUCCUCCUGGAGCACUGCCGGAAGCACAAAUACCUCGCCAAAACGGGAGAAACUUUUGUAAAACUCGUCGUGCGCCUGAUGGAGCGGCUCUUGGAUUACAGGACCAUCAUGCAUGAUGAGAACAAAGAGAACCGCAUGAGCUGCACGGUCAACGUGCUGGUGAGGGAAACGUCCACUGUCGGGUCUUCACGGGAGGCCGGAAGCUCUCUGGCCCCCGAGCUUUGAUUGGCGGGACGCACUUCCGUUGCUCGUUUCCUUGUCUGUUUCGGGGAAGGAGUGGAGGUUCGUUUGCAGACCGGCUCUAAAUGUGUCUGCAAAACGAUCUUUGCUCGGGCUGUUUUCGCGUUGUCCUUCGCGUCGUUCAGAACGAUGAGCCAUCUUACGUUGUAACUAGGGCAGCACAGAGCUUGAGUGUGUCCUUACGAGGAGAGGGUAAUUGUGUCCUCUCGCGGGUUGAAGGGUGACCUCCAAAAGCGGUGCCCACAUCCUAGUCCUGACACCUGUGAAUGUGACCUUACUGGGAAAAAGGCUCUAUUGUGAUUAAGUUAGAGAUCUUGAGAUGAGACCAUUCCAAUGAAUAAAGCCAAUGACAAGCAUCCUUGUAAGAGACAGAAAAAGAGAAGACAGACCCGGCAGAGAAGGUCAUGGAAAGAGGGAGGCAGAGAUGGAAGUGAUGGGGCCGCUGCAACCCAAGGAAGGAACAUCUGGAGCCACCAGAAGCCAGAGGGGCAGGAAGGAUGCCCUCCUGGACCUUCGGCGGGAAUGUGGCCCUGCUGAUGCCUUGAUUUCAGACUCUAGCCUCCAAAACGGUGAGAGAAUGCAUCACUGUUGUUUUAAGCCACCACAUUUGUGGCCAUUUGUUACAGCAGCUGCAAGAAACUCGUGCAAGGCCAUGUGUAGGCUAGAGUGAACUUGGCUGCCACCAUCCAUCCGCCGCCUGCACAGCUGCCGUCACUGGGACAGGGCUGGGUUCUGCGGACCCCCCAAGCCUGACAUAGUUGUGGUGCUUGAGGAAAUACCCAAGGGAGAUGAGCUUUUAGGAAGCUCUAGGACAAGCUCAGCCUCAGGGCACAGUCGCUCUUGGGAGCCACAUGACCCCCACAUCUGGCUGCAGAGCUCUUGGCAUCUCUCUGCAUCUUCCUCCUCCGCUGCUCCCAUAAGGAGCCCGAAAAGCAGAUUCUGGGCCCUAGGGGCGUUUUCCUCCGCUUCCCCUGCCGGUCCCAGUGCACAAAUGUGCACGAACACCCGCUUCCCAGUUUCUCCGCCUCCCUCCUCCGGGUUUUCCUCGUUAUCACUCUGUCACUGGACAAGAGAAAGAUGCACAGCCCUGACCUCCCCCCCACACCCCAUUCGGAUGGCCUCUAGACACUUUGAGCCCACGGACAUGGACUUGUGUCCCAAGAAGAACAGGACACAUCGUUCAUUCCUGAACAUCACCAGAAAUGUUUGAAUUAAAAAGAAAAACUGAGGGGCGUGUUUUUACCUUCCAUCUCCUUCACUGUCAAUACUGCGUCUGAGCUUUGCCCUGAGAAGCUCCAAGCUGAACACUCGUGCAGUCCCGGGCCCUGCAUUCUGGG
rnacentral:lncRNA from 1 species